UGGUCAAGUUAUUAAGGGUGCAGGGCGGAUGCCUUGGCACUAGGAGCCGAUGAAGGACGUGAUAAGCUGCGAUAAGCUUCGGGGAGUUGCACGUAAACUUUGAUCCGAAGAUUUCCGAAUGAGGAAACUCACUUAGAGUAAUGUCUAAGUAUCAUUAAGUGAAUACAUAGCUUAAUGAGGGGAACUCAGGGAACUGAAACAUCUAAGUACCUGAAGGAAGAGAAAGAAAUUCGAUUCCGUAAGUAGCGGCGAGCGAACGCGGAUUAGCCCAAACCAAUAAAGUUUUCUUUAUUUGGGUUGCGGACAUAUCAUAACGAAGAGGUAUCGUAAUUGAAGAGGUUUGGAAAGACCCACCACAGAAGGUAAUAGUCCUGUAUGUUAAACGAGAAGACUU
rnacentral:rRNA from 1 species